rnacentral:misc_RNA from 1 species
CUGCAGCCCGACUUGAACGGAGCUCAUUUUUUUGCUGCCGGAAAAAGCCAAGGCAAAAAAUAGCGGGAGUGGAAGGCGGAUUAAGC